GAUGAACGCUGGCGGCGUGCCUAAUACAUGCAAGUCGAGCGAACGGACGAGAAGCUUGCUUCUCUGAUGUUAGCGGCGGACGGGUGAGUAACACGUGGAUAACCUACCUAUAAGACUGGGAUAACUUCGGGAAACCGGAGCUAAUACCGGAUGAUAUUUUGAACCGCAUGGUUCAAAAGUGAAAGACGGUCUUGCUGUCACUUAUAGAUGGAUCCGCCCUGCAUUAGCUAGUUGGUAAGGUAACGGCUUACCAAGGCAACGAUGCAUAGCCGACCUGAGAGGGUGAUCGGCCACACUGGAACUGAGACACGGUCCAGACUCCUACGGGAGGCAGCAGUAGGGAAUCUUCCGCAAUGGGCGAAAGCCUGACGGAGCAACGCCGCGUGAGUGAUGAAGGUCUUCGGAUCGUAAAACUCUGUUAUUAGGGAAGAACAUAUGUGUAAGUAACUGUGCACAUCUUGACGGUACCUAAUCAGAAAGCCACGGCUAACUACGUG
rnacentral:rRNA from 1 species